rnacentral:rRNA from 1 species
GAUGAACGCUGGCGGCGUGCCUAAUACAUGCAAGUCGAACGAACAGACGAGGAGCUUGCUCCUCUGACGUUAGCGGCGGACGUGUGAGUAACACGUGGAUAACCUACCUAUAAGACUGGGAUAACUUCGGGACACCGGAGCUAAUACCUGAGAAUAUAUUAAAACGCAUGGUUCAAUAGUGAAAGACGGUUUUGCUGUCACUUAUAGAUGGAUCCGCGCCGCAUUAGCUAGUUGGUAAGGUAACGGCUUACCAAGGCGACGAUGAGUAGCCGACCUGAGAGGGUGAUCGGCCACACUGGAACUGAGACACGGUCCAGACUCCUACGGGAGGCAGCAGUAGGGAAUUUUCGGCAAUGGGCGAAAGCCUGACGGAGCAAUGCCGCGUGAGUGAUGAAGGCCUUCGGAUCGUAAAACUCUGUUAUUAGGGAAGAACAAAUGGGUAAGUAACUAUGCACGUCUUGACGGUACCUGAUCAGAAAGCAACGGCUAACUACGUG